AACGAACGCUGGCGGCAGGCCUAACACAUGCAAGUCGAGCGAGGACUUCGGUCCUAGCGGCGGACGGGUGAGUAACGCGUGGGAACGUACCUUUUGCUUCGGAAUAGCCUCGGGAAACUGGGAGUAAUACCGAGUGUGCCCUACGGGGGAAAGAUUUAUCGGCAAAAGAUCGGCCCGCGUUGGAUUAGGUAGUUGGUGGGGUAAUGGCCUACCAAGCCGACGAUCCAUGGCUGGUUUGAGAGGAUGAUCAGCCACACUGGGACUGAGACACGGCCCAGACUCCUACGGGAGGCAGCAGUGGGGAAUCUUAGACAAUGGGCGCAAGCCUGAUCUAGCCAUGCCGCGUGAGCGAUGAAGGCCUUAGGGUUGUAAAGCUCUUUCGUGGGGGAAGUUAAUGACUGUACCCCAAGAAGAAGCCCCGGCUAACUCCGUGCCAGCAGCCGCCGUAAUAC
rnacentral:rRNA from 1 species